CCUACGGGAGGCAGCAGUAGGGAAUCUUCCACAAUGGACGAAAGUCUGAUGGAGCAACGCCGCGUGAGCGAUGAAGGCCUUCGGGUCGUAAAGCUCUGUUGUCAGGGAAGAACAAGUACCGGAGUAACUGCCGGUGCCUUGACGGUACCUGACCAGAAAGCCACGGCUAACUACGUGCCAGCAGCCGCGGUAAUACGUAGGUGGCAAGCGUUGUCCGGAAUUAUUGGGCGUAAAGCGCGCGCAGGCGGUUCCUUAAGUCUGAUGUGAAAGCCCCCGGCUCAACCGGGGAGGGUCAUUGGAAACUGGGGAACUUGAGUGCAGAAGAGGAGAGCGGAAUUCCACGUGUAGCGGUGAAAUGCGUAGAGAUGUGGAGGAACACCAGUGGCGAAGGCGGCUCUCUGGUCUGUAACUGACGCUGAGGCGCGAAAGCGUGGGGAGCGAACAGGAUUAGAUACCCUGGUAGUCCACGCCGUAAACGAUGAGUGCUAAGUGUUAGAGGGUUUCCGCCCUUUAGUGCUGCAGCAAACGCAUUAAGCACUCCGCCUGGGGAGUACGGCCGCAAGGCUGAAACUUAAAGGAAUUGACGG
rnacentral:rRNA from 1 species